GAACAAGGGAACUAUCUGUUUGCUAAAGGAUGGUAGCAUGUCUCAGCCAAAUUACCCCCAAGACACUUGCAAAAAUAAAGAGACUAACUGAUGCCCUGUGGAGUCUGAAAGAACAUAAGGCUCUGGGAAAAAAAAGACACCUGUGAUUGGUUGAUCUCAGUUGAUCUUUUUUGCUUUGAGCUUCAUUGACUCAAUCCACCCAAAGAAAAUCAUCCCUUCAAUGAAAGCCAUGAACUCCAUAUCCCAUAUUUAAUCAAUACGUAGUCAGAAAAUAAGCUAUACACAACCAAAGCUGCUCAAACAAGUUUCAAUGAUAACUUGAUCAUCCUUACCAUGUAGCUACUUCAAACAUGAUUUGCUUUUCACCAAUUAUAGAUAUUACCUAAUUCAAAGUAAUAUUUGUUGUGGUACUCUAGUGUAAGCAAAGUACAGAGAAUAAAUAACCAAAAGACCUAUGACUUGUUCCAUCCACCACUCACAGGAAGAUAAUCAUUACUCACGUUAGUGCUUUAGUUUGGACUUUGCUAUGGCUUGAAUAUGGUUUGUCCACACCUAUGAGAGCAAAUCUUUAUGUAAUUUAUUAGGAAGAUCUGGGAGACAAGCACUGCAAGGGCAUGCUCUGGGAAAUUUAUCACAUACAAAUACUAAGAGAGGACAGGAUUAAAAUAUGAGGUCAGAAGAAAAAACUCAACACCCCAGGAACAGAAUCAGUGCUUUUUCCUCCAAAUAGUUAUUUUGAAUGUAAUCAGCAUCAACCAGCCUCUCUUCUGUCAGCUCUUAUUAUUUCUAUUUUAUCCCCUGCCAAUCUGGAUGUGGGACAAGUGCAAGUUCCUCCAAAGAAACUACUGGUGUAAAAGUAUAAAUGGGAAACGUAGUUGUUUUUGAUGAUUUUGUAGGAAAAAUGGAGAAGACAUUUAUGUUGAACAUGGAAAACAUGUUUUAAAUCUCUUUAUAUUGGAGAUUAGUUAUACACAUGUGCACAUUUGCCUCUUUAUCUAUUUAUCUGCCUAUCUAUACACAAAAUGUGUAUACAUCUUUUUCUGUGUACUAUAUGGAAGGGGUAUAUGAAUAAUUGCUAUACUAUUCUUGCAACUUUUCUAAAUUAUUGAUAUUUGUCAAAAUAAAACAUUUGUGAGAAUCCUCCUUAAUGUAUCUGUUCCUCAAAACCCACACUUGGCUCCUCACUUCCAGGGUGCUCGUCUUUAACACUGUCCCAGCUUUGAUGGCUCUGGAGUUUUCCACAAGAUUUCUGUCUCUCUCCCAUAUCAAAUAUGUUUCUUCUGUUAUACAAAAUGUUUACCUCUGCUUGGCAUCUACCUCCAAACUCACAAUCCUAAGCCCUUCAAAAUGUUCUGUGAAAUCUGGUGAGUUCCAGUUAAUAAAGCCUGCUCCUCUCCUGAGAAGACAGUUUAGCUAUCACCAUGGGCAACCUGAGCAUGCGUUUUUGAGAUAUCAUCCCUACCCCAGGUCACAGAACACAGGGGCGUUUCUACCCAAUGCUACUGCACAAGAAUUCUGAGGAAUGGAAUUUUCUUAAUGUCGUUUCAUAACUAGGACUCCAACACGAUGCUAAAUUAGAAACACUAACGUUAUUUCUAACCUUAACACGUCGCAUGUCAUCUGAAGCUUGAUUGGAAGUCGACUUCCUAAUUCCCAGUUUUCAGAACACUGACAAGGACUUUCUCACAGAAGUAUUAAACUUCCAGAGAUGUCACAAAGCAAGAACGACUUGUUGAACUGACAGCCAAGGGCUUUCAUAGUAAGCACAAUAACUAAAAAGGAUUUCUAGUAGUUGAAAGGUUGAACAUUGAUUUCUAAAGCCCCAAGUACUGUUAAUUUCUUAUACUGAGGGCAUUUGGAAGUGAUUGUCCUAUUCUGGAACUCUAAGUACAGGUCAAUUACACCUUACACUAAUUCUAAAUGGAUCUCCAAGGUAAAUGAGCAAGAGCCUGACAGCUAAGCAUCAGUAAACAGGAUUUAAUGUUAUAAUUAUUUGACCUCAAGGCAGGAUAUCUGGGUUUGCCUCUAAUACCCACAUAUCCCCCUUUCUCCCUUUUCCCCUCUUCUGAAAUAGUUUUUUCCAAUAUGCCCAUGUCCUUGUGUUGAGCUCUCUGUUUAAAGACCGCAGAUGUGCUCAACACUUACAUUAUUUCUCCCCGUUGUCUCCUCCACCACAAACUGAUACCCCAGAUCAUACCUCAGAUUAAAUUCCAAUUUCAAUGGUUUAGGUUGAAGUAUUUAUGAAUUCUGUAUGAGAAUCACAAUGAAAACAAAAGGAAUAUUGGACAUUCAUUGGGCCCAUUAGAAAGAAGAUCCUUUCCCAACUCCUCUCUUCUUCCCUUAAAAUGCCCUCUACCCUCUAUUCUCACACUAGGUCACUAGGGACCCACAUCCCACUCAGACCUACCUUUUAAUAGUGAAACUAGGUUAGGGGAUGCUAUUAAUAAAACAAACACUUUGUCCACAUGAUAUGCGUAUGAGGGAUAUUUGCAUUUUAAAAGAGAAUUGUAUAAUGGUUU
rnacentral:lncRNA from 1 species